rnacentral:rRNA from 1 species
AGAGUUUGAUCCUGGCUCAGGACGAACGCUGGCGGCGUGCCUAAUACAUGCAAGUCGAGCGGACCGAACGAGGGCUUGCUCUUGUUUGGUCAGCGGCGGACGGGUGAGUAACACGUGGGCAACCUGCCCGCAGGACCGGGAUAACUCCGGGAAACCGGAGCUAAUACCGGAUAACACCGAAGACCGCAUGGUCUUCGGUUGAAAGGCGGCCUUUGGGCUGUCACUUGCGGAUGGGCCCGCGGCGCAUUAGCUAGUUGGUGAGGUAACGGCUCACCAAGGCGACGAUGCGUAGCCGGCCUGAGAGGGUGACCGGCCACACUGGGACUGAGACACGGCCCAGACUCCUACGGGAGGCAGCAGUAGGGAAUCUUCCGCAAUGGGCGAAAGCCUGACGGAGCGACGCCGCGUGAGCGAAGAAGGCCUUCGGGUCGUAAAGCUCUGUUGUGAGGGACGAAGGAGCGCCGUUCGAAGAGGGCGGCGCGGUGACGGUACCUCACGAGAAAGCCCCGGCUAACUACGUGCCAGCAGCCGCGGU